rnacentral:lncRNA from 1 species
GUGGCCUAUGGGAGGGAGCUGUCACAUGUCUCCUCCUGGCCUUGCCCUGGUUCCAUCUGAUUUGUGAUUUCAGAAAUGCCAGACUCGCUGGUGGGGCAGGCGGCCUCCUGCAUGACUUCCUGCACAGGGUCAGCUGAUCCUCACCUCCCCGUGGGCACCAGAUACGUCUAUCACUUUUCCACUAACACCAGCACCAGCCUGCAGGGGGCCCAGGUGGGGGGGAGUGGCCUUGGUCUGCAAGGCUUGGUCACCCUUGAUGUGCUUGGUCCUUGCCAGAUGGCCUUACAGCUCCAGCACUUCCAGCUGACAUCCAUCCUGGGGUCCAAGGUGGAAGUUCUGAAGCAGUCGGAGAGUCUGAGCGCUGUCCUGGGCCGGGAGCCCCUGCGCCUUGUCCUGCAAGCGGGGCGCGUGGUCCGCCUGUGCCCCCGCCGAGCCGAGCCACGCUGGGCCCUGAACGUGAAGCGGGCGGUGCUGAGCCUCCUGCAGAGUCAUCCAGGUGUCCGCGACCCCCACACCGUGGAGGAGGUGAGUUCUGAGUCUCGAGAGGCGGGUGGGUGAUGGAGUGAUGGGGAGCAGGGCGCUGACUGGGUCCUGCUCGCCCAGGUGGACAUCCUGGGCAGGUGUCCCACCACGUACCAGCAACUCGGAAGCAGG